UACUUAUAAAUGGUGCCUAAGCAGGACCUGAAGCCCAGAUUCCAGGAGGGCGAGUGAGCGCUGUGCUUUCAUGGGCCUCUUCUCUAUGAAGCAAAAUGUGUCAAGGUUGCCAUAAAGGACAAACAAGUGAAAAACUUUAUCCAUUACAGUGGCUGGAAUAAAAAUUGGCAUGAAUGGGUUCCAGAAAGCAGAGCACUCAAAUACGUGGACACCAGCUUGCAGAACACAGCAAGAGCCUUCAAAAGGCCAGUCAGGAACAAUAUGCAGAUGGCUGUACCAGGAAAGAAGACAUCUGGUCCGCAGCAGGAAAAUGUUGAAGUGAAAACAAAGAAGAAAAAGCAGAAAACACCUGGAAAUGGAGAUGGUGGCCAUACCAGUGAGACACCUCAGCCUCCGAGGAAGAAAAGAGCUCAGGAAGAUCCUAUCAUUGAAGAUGAAAAAACAUUUAUGAACAGAGUUGAAGUUAAAGCAAAGAUUCCCGAAGAGCUGAAACCAUGACUUGUUGAUGAUUGGGACUUGAUCACCACACAAAAGCAGCUUUUUUUAUAUUUCUGCCAAGAAGAAUGUGGAUUCAAUUUUGGAGGAUUAUGCAAAUUAUAAGAAAUCGCUAGGAAAUACAGAUAAAGAGUAUGGUAUUAAUGAGGUUGUAGCAGGACAAAGGGAUACUUCAAUGUAACGCUGGGCACUCAGCGGCUUCAUGAAUUUGAGAGAAAACAGUAUGCUGAAGUUCUUGAAGAUCACCCUGAUGUACGCGUGUCCCAGAUGUAUGGAGUUCCACACUUACUGAGAUUAUUGGUGCGAAUUGGAGCAAUGAGAAAAGCCUGGCUUUAUUACUGAACUAUCUACAUGAUUUCUUCAAGUACCUGGUGAAGAAUGCUGCAGCUUUGUUCAGUGCCAGUGAUUGCCAUCAGAAAGUUGUAUGA